AAUUAUGAGGAAAGAAGCUCUCAGCAUUCCAAAGCAGAAGGAACAACUGUCUUGAAUAUGUCGAAAAUUGCUGUCUUUAAGCAGAUGAAGCACCCAGAGGACCACAAUCCUCGGAUUUUAUGAGAAGACCUUCUGCCCUGCCUGCCCUUUUGAGACCUUUAUCUGAAAAGGAACCUGCAAUCCUAGAAAAGAGGUGGAGGCAGGCUUGAUUCAGUUAAGGAAGUUCUUUCUUCUCAGCAAUUACCACGCCAAUUCUGUGGAAAAGCAACAUUUGGAAGACGAGAGAAAUCCACUGUAGGAAGUAUUAGAAAUACCUGCAAUUAGGCUUCAAACAAGCAAAUGAGAUGUAUACAUUCAUGAAAAUCAACCCAUCUACACUCAACUGAAAAACAGAUGCUUCAACUGGAGAAAAAGGGAUUUUAUCUCUCCAUACCCAAAGCUAUCUUAAAUUAGGACUUUUAACCUGUUGCCUUCGUGCGCAUGUGCAGUAGCUGGAUUAACAGGAGAGAAAGCAACAGCCCAAGAACCGACCCUCCUGCAUCAAAUGAGUAAACCAAAAAGGAAAGGGGAUUUACGCAAACACCACAAUGCCUCCCCGGGAGCCGUUCCAGUCCAUCAGAACCAAAUCCACCCUUUCAGCGGCGUGGAAAUGUACGGAUACCGAACAGACCUUGCAUUUACAAUAAAUAAACAUUACGUACAUUUUCCAAAAAAAAA
rnacentral:lncRNA from 1 species